rnacentral:rRNA from 1 species
ACGCUGGCGGCGUGCCUAAUACAUGCAAGUAGAACGCUGAAGGAAGGAGCUUUGCUCUUUUCCGGAUGAGUUGCAACGGGUGAGUAACGCGUAGGUAACCUGCCUGGUAGCGGGGGAUAACUAUUGGAAACGAUAGCUAAUACCGCAUAACAGUAGAUAUCGCAUGAUAGCUGCUUGAAAGGUGCAAAUGCACCACUACCAGAUGGACCUGCGUUGUAUUAGCUAGUUGGUGAGGUAACGGCUCACCAAGGCAACGAUACAUAGCCGACCUGAGAGGGUGAUCGGCCACACUGGGACUGAGACACGGCCCAGACUCCUACGGGAGGCAGCAGUAGGGAAUCUUCGGCAAUGGACGGAAGUCUGACCGAGCAACGCCGCGUGAGUGAAGAAGGUUUCGGAUCGUAAAGCUCUGUUGUAAGAGAAGAACGAGUGUGAGAGUGGAAAGUUCACACUGUGACGGUAUCUUACCAGAAAGGGACGGCUAACUACGUG